GAGUGAACUUGCCUACUUUGUUAAAGCCGAUAAAAUCAAAAUAUCAAUGCUAAUGGACUUCGCAAAUAUUGAACUCAUGUUGGAAAAACAUUGAUCAAAGGCUUAUUAAAAUUAAACUAUAACUAUUACAAAAGCAUACGAAAGGACACCGAUAGUUGUUCGAGAAACUGAAUUGUUGGAAUUAGCAAUCAUGACGACGAAAUGCUGUCCGCUAUAUCUGUCCAUCAUGACGUGGGCACUUACACUGCUGCUGCUAUUUUCUGCUACGGAGGCGCGAUACGCUCGCCGUCACUACGAUCCGCCGGUUGAAGAUUGCCAGUUUAGUUGUAACGUAGACUUAUACAAAUGUGACCUAAAAUGUAAAUAUCUGCGGGACUUUCAAGGCGAGAAACUUAAGAAAUGUCAUUCAGACUGUGCUGAUAAAUUCUUGGACUGUUUUGUUGGAUGUUUUUCUGUGAAUUACUCUUCAGGAUUUAGUCCAUUUGGAGACUAUGGUUUCAAAUGACCUUUGAACAAUUAAGAUUGACACUCUUAUAUUGAUAAUGAAACACGAUCACUGACAGAGCAGCAGCAAGUUUUAUUUAUAUUUCAAGUCCGCUAGCAACAUCCUCACUUAAUUGAAUAUCGUGUUAAAUAUUUAGAACUUUAGUGAUCCAUUAUUCACAAGGGCACUAAAAUACCUUCUCAGCGGGCCAUGUGGUUAAUUAUAACAUAGAUGAACCUCACAUGUUGCUCUAUAUUUAUCUUACUCCACCUUUUCGGCUCACCCAAGGCGCCACGUAAUCAUUACAUUUUAUGUAUGUAGUUUUCUCAAGACCUUUUUGUAAUAGUUCUGGUAACAGGCAAAACGAGCGUAAUUACGUUGGCUCUGAACUUACUGUUUGACUUGAAAACAAGGUUGGGUGUUUAUGGGUGCACAGAAUUCAUGAUUCAGAGGAGUAAAAUUCGAUUCAUGAUCCUUUUGAGGUGUUAAUUUUGUUAGUUGUAAAUGACUUAUUUAUUAUUGUUUGGAUGUGAAUAUGAUUUGUAUAUAAUUUGCAUAUCCUGACUAUUUUUCGCAGGUACGAAAAUGUUCAAUUGUUAAGACACAUGGAACAAAUGUUUGUUCUAUGAAAUGUAGACCUGUAUUGCAAAGAUGUAUAUGUUUUAUUGCAAUCUCUUAUUUUAGUUUUUAAAAUGCCUACAAUUUCAUUUUUUUUCUAAUCAAGAAAGGUUAGAUAAAAUACGCUGUUUAGUUAAACUUGUGAACAAAUAAAGCAUUAUACUCUCGAUUUUAUCUGGUUUUGUUGCAUUUUGAUACCAUAUUUAAGAAAAUUGUCGUUUUGUUUGUCAAUGAUUUUGUUGAAAGGUAUUUUCUGGUUAAUUUGAAAAUAAAAUGAAGAAAACCUUA